GAAUUCCUGGUGUAGCGGUGGAAUGCGCAGAUAUCAGGAGGAACACCGAUGGCGAAGGCAGAUCUCUGGGCCGUAACUGACGCUGAGGAGCGAAAGGGUGGGGAGCAAACAGGCUUAGAUACCCUGGUAGUCCACCCCGUAAACGUUGGGAACUAGUUGUGGGGUCCAUUCCACGGAUUCCGUGACGCAGCUAACGCAUUAAGUUCCCCGCCUGGGGAGUACGGCCGCAAGGCUAAAACUCAAAGGAAUUGACGGGGACCCGCACAAGCGGCGGAGCAUGCGGAUUAAUUCGAUGCAACGCGAAGAACCUUACCAAGGCUUGACAUAUACGAGAACGGGCCAGAAAUGGUCAACUCUUUGGACACUCGUAAACAGCUGGUGCAUGGUGGUCGUCAGCUCGUGUCGUGAGAUGUUGGGUUAAGUCCCGCAACGAGCGCAACCCUCCUUCUCUGUUGCCAGCACGUAAUGGUGGGAACUCAUGGGAUACUGCCGGGGUCAACUCGGAGGAAGGUGGGGAUGACGUCAAAUCAUCAUGCCCCCUAUGUCUUGGGGUUCAC
rnacentral:rRNA from 1 species